GUGCAGCAGUCGAGAAACUUUACAAUGUGCGAAAGCACGAUAAGGGAACUCUGAGUGCCUCCUAAGGAGGCUGUUCAGGUGUCUAAAAGCACCUGAAGGAAGGGCUGGGUAAGACCAGUGCCAGCCGCCGCGGUAACACCGGGCAGCCCAAGUGGUAGCCACGUUUAUUGGGUCUAAAGCGUCCGUAGCCGGCUGGGUAAGUUCCUUGGGAAAUUUGGCU
rnacentral:rRNA from 1 species